GACGAACUUUGGCGGCGUGCUUAACACAUGCAAGUCGAACGGAAAGGCCCUGCUUUUGUGGGGUGCUCGAGUGGCGAACAGGUGAGUAACACGUGAGUAACCUGCCCUUGACUUUGGGAUAACUCCAGGAAACUGGGGCUAAUACCGGAUAGGAGCUCCUGCUGCAUGGUGGGGGUUGGAAAGUUUCGGCGGUUGGGGAUGGACUCGCGGCUUAUCAGCUUGUUGGUGGGGUAGUGGCUUACCAAGGCUUUGACGGGUAGCCGGCCUGAGAGGGUGACCGGCCACAUUGGGACUGAGAUACGGCCCAGACUCCUACGGGAGGCAGCAGUGGGGAAUAUUGCACAAUGGGCGGAAGCCUGGUGCAGCAACGCCGCGUGCGGGAUGACGGCCUUCGGGUUGUAAACCGCUUUCGCCUGUGACGAAGCGUGAGUGACGGUAAUGGGUAAAGAAGCACCGGCUAACUACGUGCCAGCAGCCGCGGUGAUACGUAGGGUGCGAGCGUUGUCCGGAUUUAUUGGGCGUAAAGGGCUCGUAGGUGGUUGAUCGCGUCGGAAGUGUAAUCUUGGGGCUUAACCCUGAGCGUGCUUUCGAUACGGGUUGACUUGAGGAAGGUAGGGGAGAAUGGAAUUCCUGGUGGAGCGGUGGAAUGCGCAGAUAUCAGGAGGAACACCAGUGGCGAAGGCGGUUCUCUGGGCCUUUCCUGACGCUGAGGAGCGAAAGCGUGGGGAGCGAACAGGCUUAGAUACCCUGGUAGUCCACGCUGUAAACGGUGGGUACUAGGUGUGGGGUCCAUUCCACGGGUUCCGUGCCGUAGCUAACGCUUUAAGUACCCCGCCUGGGGAGUACGGCCGCAAGGCUAAAACUCAAAGGAAUUGACGGGGCCCCGCACAAGCGGCGGAGCAUGCGGAUUAAUUCGAUGCAACGCGUAGAACCUUACCUGGGUUUGACAUGGAUCGGGAGUGCUCAGAGAUGGGUGUGCCUCUUUUGGGGUCGGUUCACAGGUGGUGCAUGCCUGUCGUCAGCUCGUGUCGUGAGAUGUUGGGUUAAGUCCCGCAACGAGCGCAACCCUUGUUCACUGUUGCCAGCACGUUAUGGUGGGGACUCAGUGGAGACCGCCGGGGUCAACUCGGAGGAAGGUGGGGAUGACGUCAAGUCCUCAUGCCCCUUAUGUCCAGGGCUUCACGCAUGCUACAAUGGCUGGUACAGAGAGUGGCGAGCCUGUGAGGGUGAGCGAAUCUCGGAAAGCCGGUCUCAGUUCGGAUUGGGGUCUGCAACUCGACCUCAUGAAGUCGGAGUCGCUAGUAAUCGCAGAUCAGCAACGCUGCGGUGAAUACGUUCCCGGGGCU
rnacentral:rRNA from 1 species